rnacentral:rRNA from 1 species
AUGAAGCCGGUUCAAUGGCUGUCAAAAAUUGUUAUUGAGACUGGAAUCUUACACAUCAUGGAUAACUUACCAGAAGGGUCAAAGAAGGUUGUUAUGCCACUGAGGUUUUCUAUGAAUUUACAGCAAGGGAUCCACAACGUGAAUGAGAUAAGCAAGAAGUUUGAUUACAAGAACCAUCUCAACAAGAAAGACUUGGUCAUGCUGCCAGUGCUCGAGUGCGCUGAUGUAACCGAUAAGGAGGGAGGGAGGCAUUAUUGGGUCUUCAAUGUCAACUUGAGGGACGAACGCUUCGAAGUUCUUGACUCAAACAGGACGCUGGACAACAUUGAGCUGAUGACCAUUGCCUCUACCAUCGCGGGGGCAGUACGCCAGCUAUGGAGGAAGCAUUACCCAAAGUUCAGCAUCGAGCACUUCCAGAUUAUUGACAUUGACGUACCGAAGCAGCUCGGCAAUAAUGAGUGUGGGCUGUUCGCACUGCUUAACGCCACCGAAUGGAACGGUAGCCAACUGCCCAACUACGAACCCAAGGAAGUACUCAACACCAGGAAGAAGCUGGCAUAUGAUUGGGUCACCAGCGUGCACAACACCGCCCCAUGGAGGAAGUUGCUGAGAUACGACAAGGACUAG